GACCAGCUGCUGUGGGGUAAAGUUGGGGUGGGGGGUUGGUGAUGAGGCGUACACUGACCCUGGAGGUUGCAUUCCCCUUUAAAAGUCACGGCACACUCGGAUACGCAAGGCUCAUGCAGGAGCUGCUGCGGCAGUGCGAGAACACUGCUGAGCUGUGCAUUUUGUACUGCCAGUGAGCACGCAGAGAGGAGGAGGGGGAGCAAGAGAUAGAAAAAGAGAGAGAGAGAGCAGGAGAAUGAGGCAGGGAGAGAGAGUGAACAAUGUCAUUCCAUUCAGCAGGCAAUGCUGCAGUCAACUUUACUCCACCGGAGGAGAAGACACGGCCGCUUGUGCAUCAUCCCUGCAAGACCUGGAGGUGAGCGGAGGCUGAUUUUUGCUGCUGAAGCAGUAGAGCAGAGGGCGCUGUGCAGAGGAACAAGAACAUGCCUUGACUUGUACCAGCUUGUCAAAAGGGAGUUAAGGCUUGUGGUCAGCACCAGUAACUGUAUUUGCGUUCUCAUCCAACUGACCGGCGAAAGACGAGAGCAGCAUACUAUCCACUGUAGAAUAUAUGGAUAUUGGGACAAACUGAACUGAUAGUCUGGGCACUGGAUAUCCCUUCUCUGGAAGAUCCCUGACUUCACCACGGCUAAUUGGUCUACUGAUGACAUGACCCCUGAGACAAAAGAAACGUAUCCAGAUGUCCUGGAGAAGAUGAGAGACCCUGUGUCAGCAGUAAGGAGACCUCUCACCUACCAUCAUCUCUUGGAAAGCGAAAGCAGAACAAAGGCUUUUUCUUUAAGGGGAAAUCUACAUCUGUCCCUGGCUGCCAUACAAGUACUGUGUGUGGACAUUCCAUGAGCAGAGUAUUAAAGUGUCCAGAGCUCACCCGCAGGAGACAGGAGAAUCAUAUACGAGGAGCCUUUACAAGUCACCAACAGCUGAUAGUGAGAGAUGCUGAAGUGAUGGAAGAGAAGAGAGCGAGUGAGGGAUGAGGGCCGCUGCUGUGAGUGGUUCUUUGGCAGUGUCUUAGCUGGUUGUUGUGUGGAGUGAGAACGAAGCAAUCAGCAAGUAUACUGCCGCAGAAACUCGUCACCUUGGGAGGCCCCUGCAAACGACCCCGCUCACGCACUCAGCUGCCCACCCGCGCUCAGCUGCUGGAGAGAGAGAGACGAGAAUAGAGUUUGUACUCAUUAUCAAACUUCUCUUUCCAUUCAUUCUUCUUCUAAUUGUGAGUGUCAGCUUCUGUUUAUUGGCACCGCUGCUUGAACAUUCACAGCUACUAGAGAUUUUCAAGUGAAAGACUGAUUCAUGCUUACAAUGUGUUGGAUCAUAUUUUCUGUGACAUUGUAGUCAUAGUUUAGAUCAAUCCAUUGGUUUUAUUCUUUCUCUUCCAUGAGAUCAGGAGUGAUUCAGUCAAGUGUUAUUGUGAAAAUCAGCUGACUAGAUUUCACAGUUUCAGUAUU